rnacentral:rRNA from 1 species
UCAAGUUAUUAAGGGUGCAGGGCGAAUGCCUUGGCACUAGGAGCCGAUGAAGGACGUGAUAAGCUGCGAUAAGCUUGGGGGAGUUGCACGUAAACUGUGAUCCCAAGAUUUCCGAAUGAGGAAACUCACUUAGAGUAAUGUCUAAGUAUCGUAUAGUGAAUACAUAGCUAUGCGAGGGGAACCCGGGGAACUGAAACAUCUAAGUACCCGGAGGAAGAGAAAGAAAUUCGAUUCCGUAAGUAGCGGCGAGCGAACGCGGAUCAGGCCAAACCGAUAAAGUUUACUUUGUCGGGGUUGAGGACAUAUCAUAAACAGAAUCACUUAUUCAAGAUGAAGAGAGUUGGAAAGCUCCGCUGUAAAGUGUAAUAGCCACGUAGUCGAAAGAACAAGACUCUAGAUAUGAUCCAGAGUACCACGGGACACGUGAAACCCUGUGGGAAGCAGGAGGGACCAUCCUCCAAGCCUAAAUACUACCUAGUGACCGAUAGCGUAUAGUACCGUGAGGGAAAGGUGAAAAGAACCCCGGGAGGGGAGUGAAAGAGAACCUGAAACCCUGCACUUACAAGCUGUGGGAGCACAUUACUUGUGUGACCGCGUACUUUUUGUAGAACGGGCCAACGAGUUACGUUACCUAGCAAGGUUAAGCACUUAAGGUGUGGAGCCGUAGCGAAAGCGAGUCUUAACUGGGCGAUUAGUUAGUUGACGUAGACCCGAAACCGGGCGACCUAUCCAUGGGCAGGUUGAAGCGAAAGUAAAAUUUCGUGGAGGACCGAACCCACGAGCGUUGAAAAGCUCGGGGAUGACCUGUGGAUAGCGGUGAAAUUCCAAUCGAGCCCGGAGAUAGCUGGUUCUCUCCGAAAUAGCUUUAGGGCUAGCCUCAAGAUUGAGAGUAACGGGGGUAGAGCACUGAAUGUCCUAGGGGGUAUUGCACUUACCGAAGACUAUCAAACUCCGAAUACCGUAUACUUAUGCUUGGGAGUCAGACUAUGGGUGAUAAGAUUCAUAGUCAAAAGGGCAACAGCCCAGAUCGUCAGCUAAGGUCCCUAAAUGUACGUUAAGUGGUAAAGGAUGUGGGAUUGCACAGACAACCAGGAUGUUGGCUUAGAAGCAGCCACUCAUUUAAAGAGUGCGUAAUAGCUCACUGGUCGAGUGAUCCUGCGCCGAAAAUUUCCGGGGCUAAAACGUACUACCGAAGCUACGGCAUCAUUUAUGAUGGGUAGGAGAGCUUCCCAUACGGGUUGAAGCAUGACCGAAAGGACAUGUGGACUGUAUGGGAGUGAGAAUGUUGGCAUGAGUAGCGAGAUGUGGGUGAGAAUCCCACAGGCCGUAAACCCAAGGUUUCCAGGGGAAGGUUCGUCCGCCCUGGGUUAGUCAGGACCUAAGCCGAGGCCGAAAGGCGUAGGUGAUGGACAACAGGUUGAUAUUCCUGUACCACCAAUAACCGUUUGAGAAAUGGGAUGACACAGAAGGAUAAGCUAACCGCACUGUUGGUUAUGUGCGGGCAAGUAUUGAGGCAGUUCUGGUAGGCAAAUCCGCCAGAAUAAUGCUAGGGUACGAUGCGGAGCGAAAUUUAGUAGCGAAGUAGCUGAUUUCACACUGUCGAGAAAAGUCUCUAUCGAGGUUAAAGGUGCCUGUACCGCAAACCGACACAGGUGGGUGAGGAGAGUAUCCUAAGGCCAGCCAGAGAACUGUUGUUAAGGAACUCGGCAAAAUGACCCCGUAACUUAGGGAGAAGGGGUGCCUUCGAAAGAAGGCCGCAGAGAAUAGGCCCAAGCGACUGUUUACCAAAAACAUAGGUUUCUGCUAAGUCGCAAGACGAUGUAUAGGAGCUGACGCCUGCCCGGUGCUGGAAGGUUAAGGGGAUCUGUUAGAGCAAUCGAAGCAGUGAACUUAAGCCCCAGUAAACGGCGGCCGUAACUAUAACGGUCCUAAGGUAGCGAAAUUCCUUGUCGGGU